UACGUAGGGGGCAAGCGUUGUCCGGAAUCAUUGGGCGUAAAGCGCGUGUAGGCGGCUCGGUAAGUCCGCUCUGAAAGCCCGGGGGCUCAACCCCGGGAGGCGGGUGGAUACUGCUGAGCUCGAGUCCGGAAGAGGAGUGUGGAAUUCCUGGUGUAGCGGUGAAAUGCGCAGAUAUCAGGAGGAACACCAAUGGCGAAGGCAGCACUCUGGGACGGUACUGACGCUGAGACGCGAAAGCG
rnacentral:rRNA from 1 species